GGGGGUGUAGCUCAGAUGGUAGAGCACUCGCUUAGCAUGCGAGAGGUACUGGGUUCGAUACGCAGUACCUCCA
rnacentral:tRNA from 1 species